UACGGAGGAUGCAGGCGUUAUCCGGAUUUAUUAGGUUUAAAGGGUGCGUAGGCGGACCUAUAAGUCAGUGGUGAAAUGCUACAGCUUAACUGUAGAACUGCCAUUGAAACUGUAGGUCUUGAAUACAAUUGAGGUGGGCGGAAUGUGUAAUGUAGCGGUGAAAUGCUUAGAUAUUACACAGAACUCCAAUUGCGAAGGCAGCUCACUAAGUUGUUAUUGACGCUGAGGCACGAAAGCGUGGGGAGCAAACAGG
rnacentral:rRNA from 1 species